CUAAACCUAUAUCGCGUCGUCCACCGUAUACCGUCGCGACGCCUCCACCACUUUCCUCCUCGUCGCCGUCCGUCCAACCAUCUCUCUCAGCUUCAUCUCCCUCUUCCCCUUCCUAGAUCGACGCCUCUUCCUCUCUCGAUCAAGAUUGACUCACGACGCAUCUCCUCCACCUUCUCUCUUUGGGGUUUCAGAGUAGUAGCUGCGGAGGGAGGCAAGAUGAAGACGACCAGUUUGCAGGAACCUCACCGCUGCCCUCUUUCCUCUCUCCCUCUCGAUCUUUGCCGCAAAGAUGCUCUUCUUCUCGUACUUCAAGGAGUUGGUAGGUAAAGAAGUGAUGGUGGACAGGUGGAGCUGAAGAACGAUCUUGCCAUCAGAGGAACCCUCCACUCCGUCGACCAAUACCUCAACAUCAAGCUUGAGAACAUUAAAGUCAUAGACGAAGACAAAUACCCUCACAUGGUACUCCAGCCUUCUCCUGCAUCUGUUUCUUCUUCGUGUAAAUUUCCUUCCUUUCCCCCUUUUCCACUCUUGAUUACCAUUUUUUUUGUUGAAAGCGUGGGUCAAUUUCAAGGCAUUGAUUAUUCGAACCCGAAAUUUCAUUUUCGGAUCUUAAAUGAUACUAUGAUACUGGCCAGUGUGGCACCCGGUUUCAGUCAACCUUUACUCUAUAAAUUCCCCUUUGAACAUAAACCCUAGCACUGCCGCUGUUGUUUUUUUUUUUCUCAGGAUCGCUCUCGCCUCCGCUUUACAGCUUCCUUCUCACUCUCGCCAAUCGCCAUGGAGGUUUGGGACGAUUAAUCUGGCGGUAAUCUGCACUCCUGCUGAUUAUCACACCUGCCCACUAGACACCAUCUUCAGUAAUUUCAUUGAUGCUCUCCCAGUUGUGAGUUUUGAGAUUCUAGAAAGAAAAACUAAAAAAAAAAUCUGAUGAUAUAUUUUUAUUUAUUGUUUUAAGUACUAGUAUUUUGCUCUGACAUUAAAUCGCCACAAAUAAUCAUGUUGGUUAUUUCUCAUCAUGUUUUGUUCUAAGGCUCAAAUUUCUGUUAAUUAAUAUUAUAACUUUAUCAGAUGAGUUUAAUAUCUUGUCGUACAUGGUUAUUCCUACUUAGUAUGCAUGUAGAUUUAUAUGUACAUAUCUAUAUAUGUGAUUUCUCUGUGGUUGAGUCAUCUCUCGACUUUGUCAUUUUGUUUCAUUUGACUUUAUAGUAGUGUAGACUGUGAUAAACAGUCAUCUUUUAAAUCCUAUGAUUGUGUUUAUUUUUCUAACCUUAACAUAUUUUAUAUGAUAAAACAAGAAAGAAAGGAAGAAGGUGUGUGAGGUUGACAUCUUGAAAAAGGAUCCUGAGGCUAUUCGAGAGCAAAUUGAGAAGCUGGAAAGAAUGAUUUACAAAUCUCAAGUACUCUAUAGUUGAAAUUGAUAAAGUGUGGUUCGAGUGGGCUAAAUACAUGCUAGAUUACAUUUGAUUAGCAAAAGUAUUCGAUUUUUGAAAGCUUUGGAGGAUACAUGUAUUUUUAUGGAAUGUAAUUUGUGGAUAUGGACUUGAUGUGUACAAUAUAUGUUACCUUUUGAUGUUGUAAAAAGAAUAGUUAAGUGUAAUUUGUGGAUACUGACUUAAUGUACACAAUAUUUAUUAU